rnacentral:rRNA from 1 species
UACAGGAGGCCCGAGCGUUAAUCGGAAUCACUGGGCUUAGAGGGUGCGUAGGCGGGACGGUAGGUCUGCGGUGAAAUACCCUGGCUCAACCGGGGAACAGCCGUGGAUACCGCCGUUCUUGAGACAGGCAGGGGCCGUUGGAACGCUCGGUGGAGCGGUGAAAUGCGUAGAGAUCGAGCGGAACGCCGAAGGUGAAGACAAGCGGCUGGGCCUGUUCUGACGCUGAGGCACGAAAGCGUGGGGAGCAAUCAGG